rnacentral:lncRNA from 1 species
AUUGUGACAAAAAUGCAGUUUAGGCAUAAGACAACAUUUGUAAUUUAUCGUUGUAUUAUUAUCUAUCAUUAAUUAUCCGUUUGAACAAUGCGUUAACGAAAAAUACAUAUAAAAUCAGUCUUUUAUCCUUGGUUGUUAUGAGACGCGUUAAUUGUUGCUAGGGUGCUCUCUUCGAGGUCCGCGCUCUUGGUAUAUAAAGACACCGAUUCAUUGCAAGUCGGUCAUUUAUUAUUUGGCUGUCAACGAAUAAUAAUCGCUCCUAAAAGUAAUACCAGAAAUUAAAGAAUAAGAAUUUGAAGCUGGAAAGUAAGUUUGUAAACGUAGUUGAGUUGAAAACGUUGUGUUUUUGAAGCAAGCGGUUUUUAAAGUCUUUACGAUUGUUGCAAGCUACCGGGUUGUUCCGAUACUGUAAUUUCCCUCGGGAAUGGUCGCAGUCCCUCGAACAGGUGGUCUGUAAUAGUCUGGUGACUUUUGUGCUUCGGAGACUAAGUAUUACAAUUAUUGCAAGCUACCGCGUUGUUCCGAAACUGUAAUUUCCCUCGGGAAUGGUCGCAGUCCCUCGAACAGAUAGCUUGUAAUAAUCUGGUGACUUAGGUGCUCCGGAGAUUAGGUGCUUCAAAACUAGUUGUCUCAGGAACUAGGUGCUUCAGAGACUAGUCAUUUCAGGACUAGGUGUUUUAGAGACUGGGUGUCUCAGGACUAAGUGUUUCAGGAACCUAGGAUUUUUGAAGCUUAUUCUUAAGUUUAAUAUAAUUGUUUGUCAAAUCAGUUGGGACCUCGGAAAGGAUCAAGGAUAAAUUGAGGUUGUAGUUUUCAGAUAUAUAAAGUUAUUUGUGUAA